rnacentral:rRNA from 1 species
AUACGGAGGAUCCGAGCGUUAUCCGGAUUUAUUGGGUUUAAAGGGAGCGUAGGCGGACUAUUAAGUCAGCUGUGAAAGUUUGCGGCUCAACCGUAAAAUUGCAGUUGAUACUGGUCGUCUUGAGUGCAGUAGAGGUAGGCGGAAUUCGUGGUGUAGCGGGGAAAUGCUUAGAUAUCACGAAGAACUCCGAUUGCGAAGGCAGCUUACUGGACUGUAACUGACGCUGAUGCUCGAAAGUGUGGGUAUCAAACAGGAUUAGAUACCCUGGUAGUCCACACAGUAAACGAUGAAUACUCGCUGUUUGCGAUAUACGGCAAGCGGCCAAGCGAAAGCAUUAAGUAUUCCACCUGGGGAGUACGCCGGCAACGGUGAAACUCAAAUGAAUCGACGGGG